GGUGGGGACUGUUCACGUGACGCUCUUAACGUGAUGCUGUUGACGUGGUCGGGACUCUGUUCACGUGACUGUUGUUAACAUGACGCUUAUAACUGCGCUGUGGCGGACAUGACAGCUCACAGCUCAUCAGAAGCACCGUGAGCUGUCCAGUGAGGGGAUGGUUUCAUGAUCAAAUCUUCAUUUACCGUCCACAUUAUCAGAUGAGGACGUCACCAAAGGGAGUGUCCUUUGAGUCGAUGUUUACAUUUAUGUACAGAUAAUUAAGAACAUUUAGUUUAUUGUAAAAUGCUAAUUAUUUUCUCCUGCCACCUUUCAGACAUUGUCAUCCAAUUUGGAUGGAACAGCUUCGUGACCUUAAUGACACCCAGCAACACGAGACGCACACACGCACCACAGGGGAGGAUCUGCAGCAAAGGGCCCACCGGAAAUCAAACCUUGGCCGCUAUGAUGACGACAACAUGGGGCACUUGAAUGUGACUCUAGCCUUUUCAUUUUGAUUUACAACCUUGGCAUUGAAAAGAGCAAAAGUUGAUGCUUGAGAUGAUUUUGGUUUUACUGAAGAGGCUGUACGUCUUCCCCUUGUCCUUUAUCUCCUGACUCUUUCUUUUUAGGUGUGACUACGACUACCAGCAUGAACCUCAACACCUUCUUUGCUGUUCCACUAGUGUGACCCAUGAUCGGAUACAAGUUGUCAAGGAUAAACGGUGAGAGAAUCAUGUCAGCCUACAGACAACCGAUUGACCUGUGAGUCUUCAAGCAGUAAUGAUGACUACGCCUGCCUUAAGUUCCAGUUUCCUGAACAUCAUGGCAUGUCUGCAGGAGAUUCGGUCCCCACCUGUCUUCAGUCUGGACCUAAUGACUCAGACACCAGUCUUGUCGAGGCUAAAUCGAGAGAGGAUCACCUGAUGUCAACAUACGAGUUUUCAAGAAGAACUUCCUGAACUUUGUGUCUGUGUGAGACUCUACCAUGCUGGGUGCCCUCUUCAGUCAAGUCUGGACACAGAGACUCAUUGCUCUUAAUCAACUCUGGGCAAGUGGCUAAUCUUUUGCUUAUUCAUGGAAUAUCCUUCAUGUCCACAUCCUGUUUCUUCAAGAUCUCAACAAUGCUUUGUGAGUAUACGACACAUGUGAGUGGAUCAGUUCAACCUGUUUUUCACAGAAUGUUAGUUUCUUAAGGUUUUCAUCAACGAUGGUUUGUAUCUUGUUUUCCAAUAGGUGUUAUUAAGAUAUUUCCAUUUGUAAUUUACAAUAAUCAAAUGUUGACUGUAAAAUCUAUGCCAACCUAUUGUUAUACACUGUACCAUGUUUUUGCAAAGGAAUUCUGGUGACUUUAGUUGCCAGCAACUUCCUUUGAACUUUGUAAUAAAAUACCGUAACUGUAAUAAAGUUUACAGUAUAACUGUUGUUUUUACAAAACUUACUGUCAUGUCUUGUAUGCUCACCGUUAAUUGGAACUUUUCAAUAAAGUACCAUAAUAUAUUAUACAA